UUGUUAUGUGCAGAAGUCACACAAAGUACACUCGUAUAAACCUGUACAAAACAAUGAGAAUGGAAUAAAAUUGUUGUAGAACUGUAAAAUAUUCCAGAAGCAACAGUGCUUCAAUUAAGAGGAUAAAUUUAAUAAACAUAAAAUGAUUAAAUUCGUUCAUUUAUUAAUCCAAGUGCAGCUGUUAUUGUUUGUGAUGAUCAGCUGUCUUUCCUUCCCAUCCACUGAGAUUGAGGAGGAAAGCAACGUCAAGAGAUCAUACGCAAUCCGAAUGGGUAGAUGCCCGUUUGAUGAGGUAUUGCGCAGAAAUUGUUACUCGUGUGCGCGACUCUACGACAGCGUUGUUCUGUACCGAGAUUGCUGCUAUGGUGUCGACAGUGUAUGUUCAACAGGAGUUUGAAAAUCUAUACAUGAAAUCAAAGAAAUGCCAUAAGUUGCAUCACGGCUGUCAACCUCAGCGACAAAAACAUCACAGCUUUAUUUUAACAAAAAAAAACACAAACAAACAAACAAUAAUAGCACAACAACGGUUGUUGGUGAAUCUCAAAUUUUGAAUAAUACAUGAUCAAAAUAAAUAUAUCUUUGUGAUAAAAACCAUGACUGGGAUUCAUUGUGUGUAAGUGUUUUCUUCUAAUGCGCAUGAUGACAAAAUAUGAAACCGAAUAUGAAAUAGCAUUAAUAACACACUGUUUCUGUUUUUGAAUUUUUAUUACACUAGAAUUAGUAUGUGCAAUAAAUUUAUCCCCCGCUCCA